UAAGGGCGCACGGUGGAUGCCUUGGCACUAGAAGCCGAUGAAGGACGUUACUAACGACGAUAUGCUUUGGGGAGCUGUAAGUAAGCUUUGAUCCAGAGAUUUCCGAAUGGGGAAACCCAGCAUGAGUUAUGUCAUGUUAUCGAUAUGUGAAUACAUAGCAUAUCAGAAGGCACACCCGGAGAACUGAAACAUCUUAGUACCCGGAGGAAGAGAAAGAAAAUUCGAUUCCCUUAGUAGCGGCGAGCGAAACGGGAAGAGCCCAAACCAACAAGCUUGCUUGUUGGGGUUGUAGGACACUCUAUACGGAGUUACAAAGGACGACAUUAGACGAAUCAUCUGGAAAGAUGAAUCAAAGAAGGUAAUAAUCCUGUAGUCGAAAAUGUUGUCUCUCUUGAGUGGAUCCUGAGUACGACGGAGCACGUGAAAUUCCGUCGGAAUCUGGGAGGACCAUCUCCUAAGGCUAAAUACUCUCUAGUGACCGAUAGUGAACCAGUACCGUGAGGGAAAGGUGAAAAGCACCCCGGAAGGGGAGUGAAAUAGAACCUGAAACCGUGUGCUUACAAGUAGUCAGAGCCCGUUAAUGGGUGAUGGCGUGCCUUUUGUAGAAUGAACCGGCGAGUUACGAUUUGAUGCAAGGUUAAGCAGUAAAUGUGGAGCCGUAGCGAAAGCGAGUCUGAAUAGGGCGUUUAGUAUUUGGUCGUAGACCCGAAACCAGGUGAUCUACCCUUGGUCAGGUUGAAGUUCAGGUAACACUGAAUGGAGGACCGAACCGACUUACGUUGAAAAGUGAGCGGAUGAACUGAGGGUAGCGGAGAAAUUCCAAUCGAACCUGGAGAUAGCUGGUUCUCUCCGAAAUAGCUUUAGGGCUAGCCUCAAGUGAUGAUUAUUGGAGGUAGAGCACUGUUUGGACGAGGGGCCCCUCUCGGGUUACCGAAUUCAGACAAACUCCGAAUGCCAAUUAAUUUAACUUGGGAGUCAGAACAUGGGUGAUAAGGUCCGUGUUCGAAAGGGAAACAGCCCAGACCACCAGCUAAGGUCCCAAAAUAUAUGUUAAGUGGAAAAGGAUGUGGCGUUGCCCAGACAACUAGGAUGUUGGCUUAGAAGCAGCCAUCAUUUAAAGAGUGCGUAAUAGCUCACUAGUCGAGUGACACUGCGCCGAAAAUGUACCGGGGCUAAACAUAUUACCGAAGCUGUGGAUUGUCCUUUGGACAAUGGUAGGAGAGCGUUC
rnacentral:rRNA from 1 species